ACUCAAGUGUUUAGGAGGUCACUCUACUCUCUACUGUUCACAUGUGACAUAAAUCAAUAUUAUCAUUCAUCUAAAAUAAUCAACAUCUUCACAUGCAAAUGUCAUCACAAGGACUUUUCCAAGGCUUAUAAUGAGGUUGGGUUAACAAGAAAAAUUGGUUUUUCUGGAAUACAAAAUCCUUGAGUUAAGAGAGUUUAAAUUAUCAUUCAAAGUUCAAGCAUACUCUCUUUUUAACCAUUCUCAUUCAUUCCCAACUUCUUCCCUUUUUUCCCUUUUUACAUUGAGUUCACUUUACAUGCUUUUUCCUUUUCUUCUUUUCUUUUCUUUCCCAUGCAUUUUUCUUUUUCAUUCUUUUGAACUCAGUGCUUUUUCUUUUGCCUUUUAUUUUCCCCACACAACCCCAAACUUGAACCUUUUCAUCACAUACAAUU
rnacentral:lncRNA from 1 species